rnacentral:rRNA from 1 species
UACGAAGGGGGCUAGCGUUGCUCGGAAUCACUGGGCGUAAAGGGUGCGUAGGCGGGUCUUUAAGUCAGGGGUGAAAUCCUGGAGCUCAACUCCAGAACUGCCUUUGAUACUGAAGAUCUUGAGUUCGGGAGAGGUGAGUUGAACUGCGAGUGUAGAGGUGAAAUUCGUAGAUAUUCGCAAGAACACCAGUGGCGAAGGCGGCUCACUGGCCCGAUACUGACGCUGAUGCACGAAAGCGUGGGGAGCAAACAGG